UAGCCGGCCUGAGAGGGCGACCGGCCACACUGGGACUGAGACACGGCCCAGGACUCCUACGGGAGGCAGCAGUGGGGAAUAUUGCACAAUGGGCGGAAGCCUGAUGCAGCGACGCCGCGUGAGGGAUGACGGCCUUCGGGUUGUAAACCUCUUUCAGCAGGGACGAAGCGAGAGUGACGGUACCUGCAGAAGAAGCACCGGCCAACUACGUGCCAGCAGCCGCGGUAAGACGUAGGGUGCGAGCGUUGUCCGGAUUUAUUGGGCGUAAAGAGCUCGUAGGCGGCUUGUCGCGUCGACCGUGAAAACUUGGGGCUCAACCCCAAGCCUGCGGUCGAUACGGGCAGGCUAGAGUUCGGUAGGGGAGACUGGAAUUCCUGGUGUAGCGGUGAAAUGCGCAGAUAUCAGGAGGAACACCGGUGGCGAAGGCGGGUCUCUGGGCCGAUACUGACGCUGAGGAGCGAAAGCGUGGGGAGCGAACAGGAUUAGAUACCCUGGUAGUCCACGCUGUAAACGUUGGGCGCUAGGUGUGGGGGACCUCUCCGGUUUCCUGUGCCGGAGCUAACGCAUUAAGCGCCCCGCCUGGGGAGUACGG
rnacentral:rRNA from 1 species